UCCUGGUUAGCUCAGUUGUCAAAGCGCUCCCCUGGAAAUGGAGAGGUGCCUGGUUCGAUACCACGACCAGGCG
rnacentral:tRNA from 1 species